GGUCGGAGCGGAGAUGGCAGGAAGUGACGCAGGGGGUGAGGCGGUGGAGAUGGAGGGAGAGGACGCGGGAGACUCGAACAAGGAUGGUUGGCAAACGAAAGCUCAUACAGGAGUGGAAGGCAAUGAAGUGGCUGACAUACUGGCCAAAAACGCCCUUAAGAUGGAGCUAGGCAACCUGGUGGUGCCCCUAAGCAGAGAGGAGCACCCCCGUUAGUGCGCACACUCCAUCAAUGCUCCGUACCUCUGACCUGAACAAGCCAUGCAAAGAGUUGUACAUAACUGCACCAGUUGGUGGCGGUAAUGCUCCACGUCGGUAGCCAACCGCCAAUAAACACCAAAGA